rnacentral:rRNA from 1 species
GCAGAUCUCCUUCGGGAGUGACGCUUGUGGAACGAGCGGCGGACGGGUGAGUAACACGUGGGCAACCUACCUGUAAGACUGGGAUAACUCCGGGAAACCGGGGCUAAUACCGGAUGAAACAAAGCGUCGCAUGACGCAAUGUUAAAAGGCGGCAUAUGCUGUCACUUACAGAUGGGCCCGCGGCGCAUUAGCUAGUUGGUGAGGUAAAGGCUCACCAAGGCAACGAUGCGUAGCCGACCUGAGAGGGUGAUCGGCCACACUGGGACUGAGACACGGCCCAGACUCCUACGGGAGGCAGCAGUAGGGAAUCUUCCGCAAUGGACGAAAGUCUGACGGAGCAACGCCGCGUGAGUGAUGAAGGUUUUCGGAUCGUAAAACUCUGUUGUUAGGGAAGAACAAGUGCCAUUCGAAUAGGUUGGCACCUUGACGGUACCUAACCAGAAAGCCCCGGCUAACUACGUGCCAGCAGCCGCGGUAAUACGUAGGGGGCAAGCGUUGUCCGGAAUUAUUGGGCGUAAAGCGCGCGCAGGCGGUCCUUUAAGUCUGAUGUGAAAGCCCACGGCUUAACCGUGGAGGGCCAUUGGAAACUGGAGGACUUGAGUACAGAAGAGGAGAGUGGAAUUCCACGUGUAGCGGUGAAAUGCGUAGAGAUGUGGAGGAACACCAGUGGCGAAG